rnacentral:rRNA from 1 species
UAGCUGAGGCCGAUAGGCGUAGGCGAUGGACAACAGGUUGAUAUUCCUGUACCAGUUGCUUUUGUUUGAGCGAUGGAGGGACGCAGGAGGCUAAGGAAUGCACACGAUCGGAAAUGUGUGUCCAAGCAGCAAGUCUGAGAACGAGUGAAAUGCUUUUUCUCUCAAGGACAAGCUGUGAUGGGGAGCGAAAUUUAGUAGCGAAGUUCCUGAUGUCACACUGCCAAGAAAAGCUUCUAGUGAGAAAGUAACUGCCCGUACCGCAAACCGACACAGGUAGUUGAGGAGAGAAUCCUAAGGUGUGCGAGAGAACUCUCGUUAAGGAACUCGGCAAAAUGACCCCGUAACUUCGGGAGAAGGGGUGCUGACCGCAAGGUCAGCCGCAGUGAAUAGGCCCAAGCGACUGUUUAUCAAAAACACAGGUCUCUGCAAAAUCGAAAGAUGACGUAUAGGGGCUGACGCCUGCCCGGUGCUGGAAGGUUAAGAGGAGAGGUUAGCGCAAGCGAAGCUUUGAAUUGAAGCCCCAGUAAACGGCGGCCGUAACGAUAACGGUCCUAAGGUAGCGAAAUUCCUUGUCGGGUAAGUUCCGACCCGCACGAAAGGCGUAACGAUUUGGGCACUGUCUCAACGAGAGACUCGGUGAAAUUAUAGUACCAGUGAAGAUGCUGGUUACCCGCGACAGGACGGAAAGACCCCAUGGAGCUUUACUGCAGUUUGAUAUUGCGUGUUUGUACCACAUGUACAGGAUAGGUAGGAGCCGAAGAUACCGGGACGCCAGUCUCGGAGGAGGCAACGGUGGGAUACUACCCUUGUGAUAUGACCACUCUAACCCGCUGCUCUUAGCGAGCAGGGAGACAGUGUCAGACGGGCAGUUUGACUGGGGCGGUCGCCUCCAAAAAUGUAACGGAGGCGCCCAAAGGUUCCCUCAGAAUGGUUGGAAAUCAUUCGUAGAGUGUAAAGGCAGAAGGGAGCUUGACUGCGAGACCUACAAGUCGAGCAGGGACGAAAGUCGGGCUUAGUGAUCCGGUGGUUCCGCAUGGAAGGGCCAUCGCUCAACGGAUAAAAGCUACCCUGGGGAUAACAGGCUUAUCUCCCCCAAGAGUUCACAUCGACGGGGAGGUUUGGCACCUCGAUGUCGGCUCAUCGCAUCCUGGGGCUGUAGUCGGUCCCAAGGGUUGGGCUGUUCGCCCAUUAAAGCGGUACGCGAGCUGGGUUCAGAACGUCGUGAGACAGUUCGGUCCCUAUCCGUCGCGGGCGUUGGAAAUUUGAGAGGAGCUGUCCUUAGUACGAGAGGACCGGGAUGGACACACCGCUGGUGUACCAGUUGUUCUGCCAAGAGCAUCGCUGGGUAGCUAUGUGUGGGCGGGAUAAACGCUGAAAGCAUCUAAGCGUGAAGCCCCCCUCAAGAUGAGAUUUCCCAUCACUUUAAGUGAGUAAGACCCCUGAGAGAUGAUCAGGUAGAUGGGUUGGGAGUGGAAGUACAGCGAUGUAUGGAGCGGACCAAUACUAAUCGG